UACGAAGAGGGCUAGCGUUGUUCGGAAUUACUGGGGCGUAAAGCGCGCGCAGGCGGCUAUCCAAGUCAGUGGUGAAAGCCCGGAGCUCAACUCCGGAACUGCCAUUGAAACUGUUUAGCUUGAGGACGAGAGAGGUGAGUGGAAUUCCCAGUGUAGAGGUGAAAUUCGUAGAUAUUGGGAAGAACACCGGUGGCGAAGGCGGCUCACUGGCUCGUAUCUGACGCUCAGGCGCGAUAGCGUGGGGAUCAAACAGG
rnacentral:rRNA from 1 species